CCUACGGGCGGCAGCAGUGGGGAAUAUUGGACAAUGGGCGAAAGCCUGAUCCAGCCAUGCCGCGUGUGUGAAGAAGGCCUUCGGGUUGUAAAGCACUUUCAGUGGGGAAGAAAGCCUUGGGGCUAAUACCCUCGAGGAAGGACAUCACCCACAGAAGAAGCACCGGCUAACUCCGUGCCAGCAGCCGCGGUAAUACGGAGGGUGCGAGCGUUAAUCGGAAUUACUGGGCGUAAAGCGCGCGUAGGCGGUCUGAUAAGCCGGUUGUGAAAGCCCCGGGCUCAACCUGGGAACGGCAUCCGGAACUGUCAGGCUAGAGUGCAGGAGAGGAAGGUAGAAUUCCCGGUGUAGCGGUGAAAUGCGUAGAGAUCGGGAGGAAUACCAGUGGCGAAGGCGGCCUUCUGGACUGACACUGACGCUGAGGUGCGAAAGCGUGGGUAGCAAACAGGAUUAGAACCCCAGUAGUC
rnacentral:rRNA from 1 species